GACAGAGGGUGCAAACGUUGUUCGGAAUUACUGGGCGUAAAGCGUGUGUAGGCUGCCCCGCAAGUCGGGUGUGAAAGCCCCGGGCUCAACCUGGGAACCGCGCUUGAGACUGGCACGCUCGAGUUCGGGAGAGGAUGGUGGAAUUCCCAGUGUAGAGGUGAAAUUCGUAGAUAUUGGGAAGAACACCGAUGGCGAAGGCAGCCAUCUGGACCGACACUGACGCUGAGGCGCGAAAGCGUGGGGAGCAAACAGG
rnacentral:rRNA from 1 species